UGAGAUACGCGAGCGUCUGUAAGUAUUGAAAAAGAAGAAAUACACCUGAGCUAUCGCUAGGACGGAGACAAAGGAACGGCGGUCGUAGACGGCAGGAAGUUGAGCCGUGGCUCAACUCGUGGGGCUCCUUCCUGAUCCGUGGCUCAGGAUUCGUGGUACUGUCGUCUCCUACCUUACCCUGCUGGAUUCAAUGGGUGGGAGUUGUGGAGACGCCGCCGCCGCCGCCCGAUUCAGGCGAAUCCAUUCCCGGCUAUGAAAUUCCUUCUGCAGCUGAUUAGUACUCCUAGAAGAUCCCCUUUGGUUGAGGAGGUGGAUGGAAGUCAUCUCCCCAUGGAUCUGCUGGAUAAAGGACGGCGACGUCUUUCAGGGCAGUGGAAGAGCCGCCGCCGGCAUCCUUUAGGGCAGACGUGCGGAACAGUCAGAAACAGGCAGGCGUGGAUGGACGACGGGAGAGCUCGGCCCAGUUGUCUGCAAAAUGGAUGCACCCUGGUGGUCAAAGAGUAUUUGAUGGAGAACAAUGAUUUCAUGGCCAUCGGAAUAAUUGGUCCACCUGGUUUGGCAUGUCAACCACCAUGAACGAGCUUUAUUGCAUUAUAUUCUUCCUUUGGAAUUAAUCUGUGUUCAUCUAAUUAAAAUACGGAUAAUUUGUUGAAGUAACAUAUGUGACCCAUCAUUUUAAACCUCAAUUAUCUUCACCAAACAAGGAAAAUAAAAUUGAUAACCUAUGAGGCAAUGAAGACAGCAUGGCCAAUCUCUGCUCUGUUUUCUGCACACCGGAAAAGUGACAAUGAACACUGGCGAAACAUAUGACCAAGAGUCCACAGGACCUAGAUCAUCGACUCUGCCCAGGCCGCUCCAGCAGUAGUGAGGAUCCCUUACAGUAUGAUAAUUGAUAUGCUAACAGAACUAGGAUUACCAAAGGUUUAAUAUCGUUAGAAAAUAUAUGACGGCAGCAAGGCCUGUGUCACUGUCUUUUGUAGCACUCCUAUGCUACUCCAUGAUUGUGAAUCUACCCGUGCAUCCAUAUCUACAGUCCUUUCCAUAGAUGAUGAUGCAGCAGAGGACACAGUUGCUAUUGAAGCUAAAGGUGCUUGGAAAACGCAACCAACACAGAGAUCAGACUACAAUGAAAAUCACAUGAAGCGCCUCCAAACCUGAAUGAGCAGCUCAUGCACCUGCUCAACAUAGUGAAUGGGAGCAAAGAAAAGCUUGCCAGGGGUUGAUUCCUUGCCGUGAGGCACAUGAGGUCCUUCUGUAAACAAAUACAAAACUUGACCUCUAUAAUGCCCAAGACGCCAUAAGAUGAGGUCAUAAACACAGCUCUAGGCAAUAUCAGUGGUAGCAUUUUAAUUCUGCACAGUGAGCUAUGUAGUAGAUUUGCUGUCACUUGUGAUGUAACUCUUUUGAUGUGAAUCCUAAGUGAUGCAAUUUGUGCUUUGGGUGCAGGGGAGGCUGCUGAUGGGGGCUAACCUGGCUAUCGAGGGACAUGCUAGCGAGAUAUGCACAAGGGCAAUGUUUGGGCGUAUAUUUUAUGAGUGUGGCGCAUACCAGGUUUUAUAUGCGAAGAAGAACAGAUCAUAUCUUGCAAUGAUGGAGGGUGGGGAUGACUUUGACUGUGAGUGUGGGCAGUUCGCCCACAUGGGUAUACUACACACCCAUGUUUUUGAGGUAUUGUUUUCCUUAAAUUAGUAUAGUUUACAGUACUAGCAAUGCAAAUGUGGAGGGUUGGUACCAAAAAAUGAACAAUGUUGUUUUUAGAAAAUGUGGGUACUGGACUUUAUCCAUGUGAAGCAGAUCCCCGAGACACACAUACUAGCAUAGCACUAGUGAAAAUCUAAAUAGUACCUACAACCUCGGAAGCUUGCUAGGUGCGAGAAUUGUGGGGUUAAGGGCCACAGGAGAAACAACUGCACAGAACCAAUGGAUCUGAGAUUAGGGGGUGUCUGAUGCUGGUGUGAAGUGCAUGGCUGCAGCAGCAGCAUCAGUUCUGACUGAUGAAAACCAAGGAGAGCAAGGGUGUAAUCUAAAGAUAUGUUGAUGUGUUCUGGGCAUUUUCUAUUUAUGUUGUACUCAUGUACUGUGUGGUACCGUCCGGCAGUGAGGCUGGCUAUGGAUGUAUCUAUGCAGUGCAUUUCCA